rnacentral:piRNA from 1 species
UCCUAAGGCUGGGGUGUACUCCAAUUGCC